AUGACCGCCAUAAAAAUCCUGACAGUUCUGAUAUGCAAAUUUUGGCUUGCCCAACCCUGCACAGAACUAAGAAACUCCAGCACACUUGUGUACAAUACCGAGAGGUCGGUAUUUUUCUUUGAAGGCACUGCCAUUCUCCCUAUUGUAAUUGACCUGGAACAACCUUACACCGUGUGCAAUGUAACCCAUAUAAACACAGUGCUUGCGGGCAUGAUUAGAUCAUCCACGCAACGAAUUCAGGAUGACGCCUCCUUACAAGCACUAAGGAGUCGCAAAAAACGAGAAGUCACAUUACUAGCGGGGGCAGCUAUGGUAGCCACGGCGGCGUGGGCGGGCUACGAAUAUGUUUCUACCAACGCAAAAAUAGAACAGCUCCGUGCUGAACUGUUUAAACAACAAAGCUACGUAAGAAAGGUAAGAAUGGAGGAUAAACAGAGGUAUCAUGAGGUUUUCAUCGCCAUCAGACGCGAAAUGAGGCAACUUUCGGCCCUGGCCACCGAAAGCACCUGUCUAGUGGAAAAACACGCGCGCAUGCUCAUCAUGGAAAAUGCAAUGCUACAAGAGUACGAUGACAUUCUAAUAGCCCUCAAAAACGAGCGCUUAAGUGCUAAGAUAAUCGAGCCCGUACAACUAAAUCAACUAAUUAAACAAAGUACUAUUCUCUAUGACACACUAUACGUCCAAUCCCCCUAUUUAAUGUACAUUAUGGCGAAAAUGUCCUUCAAUCUACAUGAAGCAAGCGCUGACAAUGCCUCCAUACUGCGCGGAGCAUUGAUAAUUCCAUUAAUUAAGAGACAGGAAAGAGUCAUAGUAAGUAUAACCACCAAGGAGGAAAAUGGGAGUUUAAAAGUUUUCGAACCGGCGGUAAUCGCAGCCGACAGCGGCAUGUCAGUAGAAGCGUGUCAACGGGAGGCUGAUUUCUACAUGUGCACAGAAGCACAGUUAAAACCUGUUAAAAUCAGAGAGCUUACCACAGAUAUUUACUAUGAGGAUGGUAUUUUUCUACUUAAUACAAACAAAAGCGCCUUAAUCACAAGGCAGCAAAAUGGUCCCAAAUUCAAUAUCACAGGUCCAGCGUCUUGCAGUCAAGCCGACACAAAUGGGGUCUUUUACGAAAAUAGGCUGCUCUAUGUACAUUCAACUGCCUUCCAUGUACCAUUGAAGAGGUACGAUUUUAAUUUUACACCGUACGACAUAGAAUUGCAAUUUUCAGACGACGGCAAGCUAGACGAUUUGAGCGAUCAACUUGACGACAUCGAUGAUCGCAUUGUAACAUGGCAUACUGCGCAGCUCGUUUUCACAUUGGUAGUAACUGCCACGGCGGUGGUAGCCUUAAUAAAACUCUACCAAAAAACUAAGCAACACUCAAAAUUCGUUGCCCAAUUUCAGGAAUCGGGUAUUCCAUUGUCUGAAAUAUUAAUAGUAGAGGAGUCGCCAACGGGAACGGGCAGAACAAGGAGAGUAAGAAAAGCUUAG
rnacentral:lncRNA from 1 species